rnacentral:rRNA from 1 species
UACAUGGGGUGCAAACGUUGCUCGGAAUUAUUGGGCGUAAAGCGCGCGUAGGCGGUUAUCUAAGUCGGAUGUGAAAGCCCUCGGCUUAACUGAGGAAGUGCACCCGAAACUGGAUAGCUAGAGUACGAAAGAGGGUCGCGGAAUUCCCGGUGUAGAGGUGAAAUUCGGUAGGAUAUCGGGAGGAACACCGGUGGCGAAGGCGGAUCUCUGGGCCUUACUGACGCUGAGGAGCGAAAGCGUGGGGAGCGAACAGG